UAUAAAGUAGUCUAAAGUUAGGGCGGAGGAUCUAUGCUUCUCAAGUGCUUUUAAGCCUUUAUAG
rnacentral:tRNA from 1 species